rnacentral:misc_RNA from 1 species
GGCCUCGCCUCGCCUCGCCUCUCGACUAAGGCCGUAAGGUCCCUUGCUGCCUUAGAGUCGCCUUUCACCUUAAUAACACUGGAUGCAUAAGGCGCUAAGGUUUGAGCUUGGUGGGCCUUGAGCCUAAGAAGUGCCUGAGGCGCGCGCCUUUAAUAACUAUGCUACACACUCACAGCUAAGCAACUACUCAUGUUCACAACAAUGUACAAACGCAUUUUUGAGCAUCAAAACUGCUCAAAAGUGAAUUAUCUAAGGGAAAUCUAAGUCACCACAUAUGUAUUUUAUAAUUUCCAAGUGCUAAAUUAUAGGAAACAUACCUGGCGCCGCAAGAGG